CCCUAUUGUCUGGAAUAACCUCGGGAAACUGAGAACCAUGCCGGAUAGCCCACAAUGCCUGGAACGGUUUGUGGGUGAAGAUAGGAUGGGUCUGCGGCGUAUCAGGUCGUAGGGGGUGUAAUGGACCUCCUAGCCAUCGACGCGUACGGGUGUUGGGAGACAUAGCCCGGAGAUGGAUUCUGAGACACGAAUCCAGACCCUACGGGGUGCAGCAGGCGCGAAAACUUCACACUGCAGGAAACUGUGAUGAGGGAACUCCAAGUGCUAUCACUAUGUGGUAGCUUUUCUUGACUAUUAAUCGGUCAAUGAAUAAGGGCUGGGAAAGACCGGUGCCAGCCGCCGCGGUAAUACCGGCAGCUCAAGUGGUCGUCGCUUUUAUUGGGCCUAAAACGUCCGUAGCCUGUUUGGUAAAUCUGUGGGUAAAUCAACCAGCUUAACUGGUUGAAUUCUGCAGAGACUGCCAGACUAGGGACCGGGAGAGGUGUGGGGUACUCUAGGGGUAGGGGUAAAAUCCUGUCAUCCUUAGAGGACCACCAGUUGCGAAGGCGCCACACUGGAACGGAUUCGACGGUCAGGGACGAAGCCUAGGGGCACGAACCGGAUUAGAUACCCGGGUAGUCCUAGGUGUAAACGCUGUGAACUUUGGUGU
rnacentral:rRNA from 1 species